GACAAAAGUCAAAACUUGCGCGUAGGCAACGGGAGUGUUUGUGUGACUUGGAAUUGGAAUUUUAUUGGAUUUUCCAACAAGCAGAAAGUAAAAGUGCUAAAAAUACCAUUAGCAUUUAUCCCCUAAAACAAUCGUUUUUACGUCACCAUUAGGAAUAACUGAAAAUCCACCACAAUGUUUGAUAACUAUCCAAACCACCAAACAAAUGUAGAGACUGGGAACACAGCAAAUCAAAAAGUACUGAGGUUUGACAGAAGCUACCUCAAAUCUUUGCCUGGGAUACUUAAAAUAAUUCAAGUGAUAUGCAACACUCUUGGAUUUAUAUUGAUAAAGGUGUCUACAGCAUUCAUUUCACCUAUAUUUUAUAACAUAUUAUACUGGGUGGCAAACAUGAUUACAUUAUUCUUGUUCCUCAUGUAUCUUUUCCAUUUCGUGGAGAAGUAUGAUCACCUGCCGUGGCACAAGUAUGAGUUUUUCUACUGCGGUAUUGUGGUCUUGACAUACAUUGGAACGUCAAUAUUUGCAGCCACUCUAGCAGAAAGCACUGGAUAUGCUGUUGGGUUCUUUGGUUUUUGUGCUAUCGUCUCAUAUACUUUUGAUGGCUACUUGAAGUACAGAGGGUGGAAGAGAGGCCUGCCUCCUCAGUAAGUCUUGAGCACCUAUGACAAGCAUCCAAAGGAAUUCAAUGAUGAAGGAUGGUUCAUUUUUUUUUGUCAUUGGUAAAUAGUAACGAACUAAUGAUGACUGAUCUUUUGUAGAUUGAAAUGUAUUUAUGGCCAUUUACUGUUAUUAUUUAGGUUAAUAUUUUGUUUUACCUCACCGAUCAUAAGAUGUUGGUUGUAUGUUAAGUGUAGUUAUAAUACAUUAUAAGUUUUUUUAAGUUACUACUUAAUUUUUUUACACUUGGAUACUUUGAUGUAACCUAUUACUUAUAAUAGCAAAUUCAUCAUUAUAAUAAUAUCUGUUUUCAAAAUCUGAAAGGAAACUAUGAAAGGAAUCUCAAGUAUGUACAGAGUACUACUUCAUAUUAGUUAUAAGUAUUUUAACGUGCCUGACAUACCAAGUGCCUUAAAAAUAACUUUUCACAAUUAAGACAAUUCAUUAUGUUUUUCAGAGUUAUAAAAUGGUUUAAAACCAGAGUUACUUAGUGUUUUUGAGAGUAUAUAAGAUCAUUGUCUGUCAAUCAUUAUUACUGUUAUUUACUAUAUUCUAUUGGGUCCACUAAUGAUGCAUUUAUAUUUUUAGAUGCACUUAUACACAUAAUAUGAAAUGCACUUUAAUCACUAACAAUGCACAAUGUACAUUUUUUUUUUUUGUAUUAUGGUUACUUUUUACAUAAUUUUUGAUAAUAUGAUGCAGCUAUGGCGCAGAUUUAUUCAGGAAAUACAAGAAUCUCUUUUAUCCGUUGAUACCUUCUUAAUGUACUGUUCACACCUGUCGUCUGUUUUUCUGAUCGAAUAGGUUUUCGAAAAUAUUCUAGACCACUACCUACAUGAUUUUGGUGAUUAAACAAAAAUUUACAGGCUAUAAACAAAUGGUCUGUAAUAAGAACGGGUUAUUAGAUGAACCUAUAAUAAUAAUAAACUUUCUAUUUUGUUCAAUUAAGGAUCAAAUUAGGGGUUUUUUUUUCAAUUUCUGAAUAUUAAGAAAUCAACUUAUUAAAGUAUUAUAUUCUAGAACAUUUAAUGUUAAUCAUGUUAAGAAUUUAAAUAUGUAUAUGCCUCUGCCUCACAAGGUAACAUUUAUUUUGUUAGCGUGUAUUUAUUAAAGGAAGGAAGAUACUUUUACACCUUAACGUUUUUAUAGACUUUCAUGUUAUUGUAAAUAGAUUUUUGAAGCUUUUAACAUUCAUAAGUUUUAAUAUUUUGGUAAUUGUUAUAUUUGAUAAGCUUAAUAAUUUUUGUUACCAUGGUUAAUUCAAAUAUGUAACAUCGAGAAUAUCCCAGUAACUAUUAGUGUAAUAGUAAUAUUGGUGAAUACCGCAUUUUGGAAGUGGGGCUGCUCCCUUAACUGUUUAUUUUUUGAGUGUAUGUGUGUCGCAGUCUCCCGCGCCUGCUAAAUAUUCGAAAACACAUUAUUUUCUCUAGAGUCAGUAGCCACUUGUAUUUUAGUUAUGAAUAAAACAGUAUGAACACA